rnacentral:rRNA from 1 species
GCGGCAACAGCUCAAAUUUGAAAUCUGGCGCAAGCCCGAGUUGUAAUUUGUAGAGGAUGCUUCUGGGCAGCGGCCGGUCUAAGUUCCUUGGAACAGGACGUCAUAGAGGGUGAGAAUCCCGUAUGUGACCGCUGGCACCCUCCACGUAGCUCCUUCGACGAGUCGAGUUGUUUGGGAAUGCAGCUCUAAAUGGGAGGUAAAUUUCUUCUAAAGCUAAAUACCGGCCAGAGACCGAUAGCGCACAAGUAGAGUGAUCGAAAGAUGAAAAGCACUUUGGAAAGAGAGUUAAAAAGCACGUGAAAUUGUUGAAAGGGAAGCGCUUGCAACCAGACUUGUCGGCGGUGUUCCGCCGGUCUUCUGACCGGUCUACUCGCCGUCGACAGGCCAGCAUCAUCUGGGGCCGCCGGAUAAAGGCUCGGGGAAUGUAGCUCACUUCGGGCGAGUGUUAUAGCCCCUUGCACAAUACGGCGCGCCCCGGGUGAGGUCCGCGUUUCGGCAAGGAUGCUGGCGUAAUGGUUGUAAGCGGCCCGUCUUGAAACACGGACCAAGGAGUCGAUUAUCUAUGCGAGUGUUCGGGCGUCAAACCCCUACGCGUAAUGAAAGUGAACG